GAGAGAGAGAGAGAGAGAGAGAGAGAGAGAGAGAGAAGAGGCGACAAAGGGAUGGAGAAGACGGGAAGCUCCGGUCUCAACAUCGCCCUCAUUCAUCCUGAUCUCGGAAUCGGAAAGAGAAUCAAGUACCACAUUCAUUACCAUAGAAGAUUUAUGAACUUGUGACAGCAAUUGAUAUUUCUGGCGAUGCUAUCAAUCUGGGAUUUUGGAAAGAUUAACCGUUCAAUGAGCUGUUUGAAAUGACAGCCGUUCCCACUCUGAGCUUCAUCGGGCAGAAGUGCAUAAAAUUUUCUCUACUAUUUCACAGAUCUUAUAAGGUGAAAAUGCUCAAAAAAGUCCACUCCAAUAAGGUGAAAAAGUGCAUUGGUAUAUGUGAUGAAGGUGUAUCAAAGGAUUUUCUUCUGACCAGAAGGCAGGUGAUCGUUGAAUGAUCAGCACGAUUAUUAUCAGGACUGCACAACACAAAGUCAGGCCGAUGAAGCGCGAGGUUCAACCGGUCCUCUCCCACAACCAAUGUGGUCGCAUCAAGCAAAACAUGCCAUGAGUUCCUAUGAGCUUCCGAUACCCAAUGCAUCGAAUAACGUGUCCCAUUCACAUCGACUGGAGAUUGUAGAGAUCAGUCUUUUCUCCUCCUUCAACUAGCGCAUUGGAGUAUUCUGGGUAUUUCGCAAGGACGUAUUGUUCAACAUAUUGCCUUUCAGUUGGCGUGAUCGGGCCUGACCAUCUCAGAUCAAGACCGUGGAGUGUUGAUAUGGCUUCGGCUAUUAUGUGAGCAGGCUUAUCAUGGCACGGCUCUGCCUCAGAAAUCCAUGUUCCCUUGUCCUAACUCACUCUCAGUUACCGAUCAUACCCUGAUAUUUGUGUUUGAAGAUUCUGAGCAUAGUAUAUGGUUCCAACUUCGAAGUAUAUUAAGAGAGUAGGAGAGGAAUUUCUAAGGAUCAAGGAUUAGCGAAGAAGGUAAAGAAGGUAGGAGAAUAAGCAUUGGUAGACGGAGUCAUCACUUGUACCGAAAACUACUUUUUUCUCAUAUCAUGUGACAGAAAAAUGCCACAUCGGUCACGCGACUGAGCAAUAGCUGAGAUGACAUAGGGUUCAAGGAGUUUCGAGGAACCUUGGCGGUUGAUCCAAUGAAAUGUCAACUCUGUUAUGUAGGUUCUUGAUUCUUGAACGAAUGAGUCAGCCCUUCAAUUCAAGAAGUCACGCGCACACCUAGUCUCCUUUGGGAUCGGGGGUUAAGCUAAACCGUUGACUAUAAGCCUUAAUAUUUUGGGUUUUAAACGGACUAUAUAAUAUCGGUUAGAGACAUAUAUGUUGUAGAGAUCUGUGGGAAGAGUCUGUCAAAUUAUUGAAUUUCCUUGAAACAAAGUGUAAGAAUAAACCAGAAAUGAUAGUUUACUUGGAGAUCAACACGAUAUUGUGAAUAUAAAACUUUUGAUAGAAAAUGACUCACAGGGAAUCCAA